rnacentral:rRNA from 2 species
UUAAAAGYUCGUAAGUGAAACUGUGUCUUGCGGCGUCGGUCUACGAUUGAGUAACGACAGGCGCGUCUGCGGGGCUUCUCGCCGGUGCGUCAUCCGUCGUCAAGGGCGUACCGCGCUCGCUCGCGUCUCCGUCCCCGUCCGCGGGUGGCGGUGCGCGUGUGCGGCGCGGCGCCUCGGCGGGACGUCGCGGCCGUUUACUUUGAACAAAUUAGAGUGCUCAAAGCGGGCUAACACACGCCUGAAUAUUGUACGCAUGGAAUAAUGGAAUAGGACCUCGGUUCUGUUUUGUUGGCUUUCUGUUAACCAGAGGUAAUGAUUAAUAGGGACAACUGGGGGCAUUCGUAUUGCGACGUUAGAGGUGAAAUUCUUGGAUCGUCGCAAGACGGACUAAAGCGAAAGCAUUUGCCAAAGGUGUUUUCAUUAAUCAAGAACGAAAGUUAGAGGUUCGAAGGCGAUUAGAUACCGCUGUAGUUCUAACCAUAAAUGAUGCCAGCCAGCGAUCCGCCGAAGUUUCAUAUAUUUAACCCGGUGGGCAGCUCCCGGGAAACCAAAGCUUUC